UACACAUAGGGCUCGCUCUUCAGUGUGAGU
rnacentral:piRNA from 1 species